rnacentral:rRNA from 1 species
CCUACGGGAGGCAGCAGUGGGGAAUAUUGGACAAUGGGGGGAACCCUGAUCCAGCCAUGCCGCGUGUGUGAAGAAGGCCCUCGGGUUGUAAAGCACUUUCAGUGAGGAAGAACGCCUGGUGGUUAAUACCCAUCAGGAAAGACAUCACUCACAGAAGAAGCACCGGCUAACUCCGUGCCAGCAGCCGCGGUAAUACGGAGGGUGCGAGCGUUAACCGGAAUUACUGGGCGUAAAGCGCGCGUAGGUGGCUUGAUAAGCCGGUUGUGAAAGCCCCGGGCUCAACCUGGGAACGGCAUCCGGAACUGUCAAGCUAGAGUGCAGGAGAGGAAGGUAGAAUUCCCGGUGUAGCGGUGAAAUGCGUAGAGAUCGGGAGGAAUACCAGUGGCGAAGGCGGCCUUCUGGACUGACACUGACACUGAGGUGCGAAAGCGUGGGUAGCAAACAGGAUUAGAUACCCCUGUAGUC